CUCAAUGGUGGGGCGUGUGGGGGAGCCGAAAGGCUCGCCGGGUCCUUUUCAGCCGGUCAUGCCAGCCCUGUACGUCUCGCCACCAAU
rnacentral:antisense_RNA from 1 species